UGGUUCGGAAGGAACGCUGGCGGCAGGCUUAACACAUGCAAGCCGAACGAGUGCAGCACUACAUCAGCGGCAGACGGGUGAGUAACACGUGGGAACAUUCCUCGUUGUUCGGAACAACUGAGGGAAACUUGAGCUAAUACCGUAUACGUCCGAGAGGGGAAAGAUUUAUCGCAAUGAGACGGGCCCGCGUCGGAUUAGCUAGUUGGUGGGGUAACGGCUUACCAAGGCGAGGGUCAGUAGCUGAUCUGAGAGGAUGAUCAGCCACACUGGGACUAAUACACGGCCCAGACGACUACGGGAGGCAGC
rnacentral:rRNA from 1 species